rfam:Trichobilharzia regenti genome assembly, scaffold: TRE_scaffold0114162
GUACUGAUGAAGAGUCCCAAACUAAGACGAAACGGCUGUUCAGUAC